rnacentral:lncRNA from 10 species
AGGUAAUAAGGUGAACUUAAGGAAAGAAACACAUACUACAAAAGAUUUGUCAAAAAGGCAGGGAAGCCUAGGUCCCUGAUGAUAUCUUGGCACUGCCCACCUCUGGACUGCAGUGGACUGAUUAUCUUUAGAAGCACGCAUGAGAGAAGAAAACUAAACCUUUAUGUUGCAUAAAUUACUGUAGCUUGAGUUUCUAUUAUAUGCAGCUGAAUCUAAGUCUACUAUGUGCAGCAUGUGAAAACCUGUUAAACUGAUACACACUCUUUCUUUUCUCCUAAUAUUGUCGCACUUGCACCUUAUGUCCUAAGUUUUCUAGUAAUCUUGAAUGUACAUAAUGUUUAGUUGUGAAAUAAAUUUUGCUUUGUGAGGGAAUUAGUUGUAAUUGAGGGUAGAAUCAAAGUUUGUUCAGCGAAUUCCAUCUAUUCAGUUGUAAAGGCAGCGAAUAAACACCAUGACUUGUAUUUGAAAGUAGAAAAUACCGACUUUCAAUUGUCAUUUCCCCCGAGGAAACCAUUAACCAGCACAAUUGUUUUUAAAUAUCAACCUGAAAUAACACUGUAUUUUUACUGCUAUUCUUUCUCUCUCCUUCUCUCUCUUUGGGAUACAGUUUGGAUCCUUAAUUAGUCCUAAAAAUCCUAACUUCAGUAACAGCAGAUUGUGGACAAAUUGAAAGCCUGCCAGUGCUCUCAAAAACAGUGGAUGGUGUGGUGGAAAGCCCUUGGAAGGAUUUUUUAUUGCUGAUGGAUUCAAUUUAUAGAUGCUUCCUAGUUUUUUCACCUACUCAAAUUUUGAGACAUUUAUGUUAUUUUUCAUUUCUAACACACACACAUGUAAUAUCUUGAAUAUUUGAAUAGAGGUUUUGUGUGAAAAUAAGAUUGUAUUUCUCUGAAGCAAAAUUCAAGAGUGGGAUAUGUACAUUUAUAGUUUGAGGUCUCAUAUCUAAGUCUUUAAUUCAUUUUGUGUUGAGUAUGUAUGUGUUGAGGGUAGGGGUCUAGUUUUGUUCUUCUGCAUGUUCAUUUCCAAUUUCCCCAGCACCAUUUAUUGAAUGGGGUGUCCUUUUUCUGGUGUAUGUUUUUGUUAAGUUUGUCAAAGAUCAUUUGGCUAUAGAUUGUGUGGCUCAAUUCUGGGUUCUGUAAAAUGUACCCUAGAGCCUUGAUUCUCCUGAGGCCUCAGUAGUGACCUGCUCACAGUUAGAACUCUGUUGACUCAGUGGUGUUUCUAUGAGUGUAGUGAUUCGUGGUCAUGGGGUGGUUUUCCUAAAAUUGUGGACAAUUCUGUUUUGAUGUUCAAGCAUGUGCUAAAAAUUUCAC